rnacentral:rRNA from 1 species
AUGGCUCAGGAUGAACGCUAGCGACAGGCUAACACAUGCAAGUCGAGGGGCAGCACAAAGUAGCAAUACUUGGUGGCGACCGGCGCACGGGUGAGUAACGCGUAUGCAACCUACCUAUCAGAGGGGAAUAACCCGGCGAAAGUCGGACUAAUACCGCAUAAAACAGGGGCACCGCAUGGUGAUAUUUGUUAAAGAAAUUCGCUGAUAGAUGGGCAUGCGUUCCAUUAGGUAGUUGGUGAGGUAACGGCUCACCAAGCCGACGAUGGAUAGGGGAACUGAGAGGUUGGUCCCCCACACUGGUACUGAGACACGGACCAGACUCCUACGGGAGGCAGCAGUGAGGAAUAUUGGUCAAUGGGCGAGAGCCUGAACCAGCCAAGUCGCGUGAAGGAAGAAGGAUCUAUGGUUCGUAAACUUCUUUUGCAGGGGAAUAAAGUGCAGGACGUGUCCUGUUUUGUAUGUACCCUGAGAAUAAGGAUCGGCUAACUCCGUGCCAGCCGCCGC